rnacentral:rRNA from 1 species
AACCUAAAAAAUUUGGCGGUAUUUAAGGCAUUCUAGAGGAACUUGUAACAUAAGUGAUAAUCCUCGUUAAAAUUUACUUUUUUUAUUAAUUUGUAUAUCGUCGUUGUCAGGAUUUUUUAUAAACUUGUUUCCUAGAUAAGAUACUAAGAAUCGUCAGAUCAAGGUGCAGCUUUAUGGAGAAGUGUUUAUGAGUUACAAUAAUUUAAGUUAUACUAAUUUUAUUUUUAAAAAUAAAUGAAUGAAGGUGGAUUUAGGAAUAAUAAUUUUUUAGAAAGUUUCGUGAAGAAUUAAAUGCUCUAAAA